AGUGUUGAUAUUCCUCAGGGAAGGGGUAUUGGUGGGGAGGCGAGUGUGGAAAAUAUGUAAUGGGACUGAGAGUUGCAGUUCAAGGGAGGGGUGAGGGAAUCAUGACCGGUGAUUCCUGUGUUCCCGUAGAUGGUUUGUUGAAGAAAUAGGGUGGGAUUUGUUGCAUCAUCUGUGGGUUUGACUUUGAGUCCUUGUUGCAUUAUUAUUUUGUGUUUGCAGAUCCUUAAGAGGCUUCGAGAGGUGCAGUUUGUGAAAGAAGGAUAGAUGUGAGGCCCCAUCUGGUGGAAAAAGAGUUUUGUGUGAAGAUCGGGGUCCAGUUGGGCAAAGAACAAGUGAAGCAGAAGUAUGCCUGUGUGGAACAUGAAGUACUUAUUCCCAAAAUGGAAGUGGAUUUGAUGUCAAAUUUGCAAGUUAAGAAUCCAUUUCCAUCUCUGUGGUCGGAAAGCAUCAGCAUCUCUGGAGAAGACUUCGGUGUGCGUCGUUUGGAGCAAUCGGGCUUUGAUAUUGUAUUAUUUGGGUCAAGAUGUAAAGUGUUGUCUGUUUGAUGGCUAGAAUGUAGUAGAGCAGUGGGGCUGAUGUCACCGUGUUCCGGUAGAUACCUGAGCACGAAAUGGCAUUAUUGUCAUUUCUGUGAUUCAAAUUGGAGAGGGUGGGUUAAUUUGUUUGGUCAGUUACAGGAACAUCACCACAUAAGUAUUUGCACAAAAUGCAAUUGUUUUCUGAAAUGAAUGGUUUGUUUGCCACUUGGAAUGUUCUAGCCAUCAAAGUUGCAAGAGGACACAGUUGAGGGUUGUAUCAUUUAUUGGGGCAUCCCGAAGUGUUUGUGAAUUUUGUUCAUAUUGCUGUGUAUGCUGUAUUUGUUAGGUUGUAUAGUUUUGGUUGUGAUUGGAUGACUCCCUUAGUCAUCCACUUUGUAGCGUGCUAAAUCACUGCAGUGAUU